GGAGAAAAAAGUGACAUGCAUGCAACAAUGACAAUUUAAAACUUUCUAUUUGACAAAUUAAAAUUGUCCAUUUGGCUCCAAUCUCACUUAGCUUAAUUAACUCAUAAUAUCUUAGUUAAAAAUUGGAUAGAUAUAUGAAUGGGUUAAGUGAUGUUUGUUAAGUGAUAUUUACUAUGUAUUUUGUGAAAAGUUGAACUGUUGAAGGAUAAUAUAAAGUAUAAACCAUAAACAUGAAUAUAAUUUGUAAAAGAGGGGAAAAGGUAAUAUAUUUGCAAAUAUAUGCUUACAUUAAUUUAUAUUUGCAAAGUGACAGUUAAUUACUUUAUUAUCUACAUUUUAAUUGUAUUUAUUAU
rnacentral:misc_RNA from 1 species